UCAGCCUGAAGGCGCCCGAUCUCGUCUGAUCUCGGAAGCUAAGCAGGGUCGGGCCUGGUUAGGAUCUUGGAUGGGAGACCACCUGGGAAUCCCGGGU
rnacentral:rRNA from 1 species